rnacentral:rRNA from 1 species
AAAGGGUGCGUAGGCGGCCUGUUAAGUCAGGGGUGAAAGACGGUAGCUCAACUAUCGCAGUGCCCUUGAUACUGAUGGGCUUGAAUUGACUAGAGGUAGGCGGAAUGUGACAAGUAGCGGUGAAAUGCAUAGAUACCAGGAGGAAUACCGAUUGCGAAGGCAGUCUGCUGCAGUCACACUGACGCUGAGGCUCGAAGGUGCGGGGAUCAAACAGGAUUAGAUACCCGUGU